UGAAAGAAAUAAGCAUCAUUAUGUUGGCAGUCAGGGAAGAUGCUGCUUCUAAGUAGGGGAGGAAGAGAGGAGAUGCACAGGGGUGCAGGUCAGGAAUGUACAUGAGAUGUGUGGGAGGUGCCAUCUAGAUUUGGAAGGAUAUGUGGCAGUGGUGGGUUGCUCCCGGUUCUGUCCGGUUCUAUAGAACCGGUAGUAAAACCGGCAGGAGGCUCCGCCCACCUGCCCCGACGUCAUCAAGGGGCUUCUGUGCAUGCGUAGAAACAUGCGAAAGUAAAGUGUUUCAGAUGUCACCAAAGCAGCAGGUCAAACAAUCCAUCAGGUUGUACAAGGGGAGACAAAGACUAACUAGCUUCAUUCACUUUCUUCAUAUUUACUGUAACAACAACAACCAGGAAGAAAAGACUACAGUAUCUGCAGCCACCAUAUGGUACUAGAGAAAGAUGUGGCUCCUUUAAAGAAAACCAGGCAGAUGCUAUGUUCACA